AAUGAACGUUGGCGGCAUGGAUUAGGCAUGCAAGUCGAGCGAGAAGGGUUCUUUUGCUUGCAUUAGAACCUGGAAAGCGGCGCAAGGGAGAGUAACGCGUAGUUAUCUACCCCAAGGCCCGGAAUAGCUGCGGGAAACUGCAGGUAAUGCCGGAUAAUAUCCCCGGAUCAAAGGUGUGAUUCCGCCUUGGGAGGAGACUGCGUUGUACUAGCUUGUUGGUAGGGUAAUGGCCUACCAAGGCUACGAUGCAUAGCGGGCGUGAGAGCGUGGCCCGUCUCACUGGGACUGAAACACUGCCCAGACACCUACGGGUGGCUGCAGUCGAGAAUCUUCGGCAAUGGGCGAAAGCCUGACCGAGCAAUGCCGCGUGCGGGAUGAAGGCCCUCGGGUUGUAAACCGCUGUCGUAGAGGAGAAAGGUCUGAUGAAGAAUCAGAUUUGAUCUAUUCUAGGAGGAAGUCCGGGCUAAGUUCGUGCCAGCCGCCGCCGUAACAC
rnacentral:rRNA from 1 species